CCUACGGGUGGCAGCAGUGAGGCAUAUUGGUCAAUGGCCGGAAGGCUGAACCAGCCAUGCCGCGUGAAGGUCAGUGCCCUAUGGGCGUUAAACUUCUUUUGUGCGGGAGCAAUAAUGGUCACGUGUGGCCAGACGAGAGUACCGUACGAAUAAGCCUCGGCUAACUCCGUGCCAGCAGCGGCGGUAAUACGGGGGAUGCAAGCGUUAUCCGGUUUUUUUGGGGUUAAAGGGUGCGUAGGCUGUGAGGUAAGUCAGCGGUGAAAUUCCCCCGCUCAACGGGGUGAAGUGCCAUUGAUACUGCCUUGCUGGAAUGCGGAUGCCGUGGGAGGAAUGUGUGGGGCAGCGGUGAAAUGCAUAGAUAUCACACAGAACACCGAUUGCGAAGGCAUCUCACGAAUCCGCGAUUGACGCUGAUGCACGAAAGCGUGGGUGUCAAACAGGAUUAGAUACCCCGGUAGUC
rnacentral:rRNA from 1 species